rnacentral:rRNA from 1 species
UACGAGGGGGGCAAGCGUUGUUCGGAAUUAUUGGGCGUAAAGGGUGCGUAGGCGGUCUGACAAGUCUGAUGUGAAAUCUAUGGGCUCAACCCAUAGUCUGCAUCGGAAACUGUCGGGCUUGAGUAUGGGAGAGGUGAGUGGAAUUGGUAGUGUAGCAGUGAAAUGCGUAGAUAUUACCAGGAACACCAAUGGCGAAGGCAGCUUGCUGGGCCACUCCUGACACUGAGGUACGAAAGCGUGGGGAGCGAACAGG